GAGCCACGAGUCUCCAAACCGCCUACCUGAGUCACUUCCUUCUUCCCCUUACGAACUUUGUUACACAGUGUAGUUGCAUGUGCAUUAUUUUU